GAUCGAAGAAGAAAAGAGAUCGUGAGGGAGGGAUCUCUGGUAAAAGCUAUCAGCUGCGCUCAAUUUUUCCCAUACGUCUUUCUAUUUUCUCUGUGUAUAUGUGUGUAUAUUGUAUGUAUAGGAGUGUGUUUUUGUGAUGAAGCAGCCGCCAGCUGCGCAGCCCCUUUCUCCCAGCGUCUAUAUGUGUGUCUCUCUGUAGUGUAUUCUCCUCAAGAAGCUCAACUCCCUUCUCGUGUAUAUGUGUUGUGUUUUCUCCCUCUUCUCUAUCGUGUGUAUAUACUUCUAUAUGAUAAUGUGUAUUGCGUGUGUUUGUUAAGAGGACCCCCUCUUCUCUGUCGUGUGUAUAUGCUUCUAUAUGGUAAUGUGUAUUGCGUGUGUUUGUUAAGAGGAAGCCAAGGUUGCGCUUCAGGCCUC
rnacentral:lncRNA from 1 species